GUGAGGGUGUGGUGAGUGAGUGUACGCAUGUGCUGUGUGUGAUGUUAGGAGUGGACGUUGUAGGUGCACCUCGCAUUGAACAAGGGCCGUGGUGGCGUCACCGCUACAUUGUAGUGAACGACGCCAGUUGGUGUGUGGUGAGUGUGGUGUGAUGGGUUGUGUUUGUGGCAAAUGGAGUGUUGUAGUUGGAUUUGUCAAUCAGAUCGUCACCCUACACAACAUGGCCACCACCCUACACAACGUGACUUGUCACCCUACACAACAUGGCCACCAACCUACACGUGUCUUGUCACCCUACACAACAUGGCCACCAACCCUACACAACAUGGCCGUCACCACGGCCAUGAGGAAGGGAGAAGACGUGGAGACGUCUAAGAAGUGGUCGGCGGGUCAGAACCGGCAGCACGUCACUCACCGCAACACGGCGAAGUUGGACCGCGAGACGGAGGAGCUGCACCACGACCGCGUGCCCCACGAGGUGGGCAAGAUCAUCCAGAAGGGCCGCCAGGACAAGGGGCUCACGCAGAAGGACCCUCGGCCACGAGAAUCAACGAGAAGCCCAACGUGAUCACGGAUUACGAGUCUGGCAAGGCGAUCCCCAACAACCAGAUCCUGGGCAAGAUCGAGAGAAUCAUCGGGUUGAAGCUGAGGGGCAAGGAGCUGGGAGAGCCGAUGGGUGCAGUCAUCCCCAGCAAGAAGAAAUGAAGCCCUGCUGCCCUUCCAGCCCUGCCCCUGCCUGCCUGCCGCCCGCCUGCCCUUCUCCCUGUCGGUCCCCUGCGUGACGUGAAGCUGCUUCGGCUGGGCUGACGACGACGACGACGACGCCCGCCAGUGCUGCGCUGGUUAAUGCGCGCACACGCGUACACACACACUCGCACACACAUGCACGCACAUUCGCACACACACUCGCACACACACAUGCACGCACUCGUGUACGCGCACAUUCGCACACACACUCGCAC